UACAGAGGGUGCGAGCGUUAAUCGGAAUUACUGGGCGUAAAGCGUGCGUAGACGGUUAUUUAAGUCGGAUGUGAAAGCCCCCGGGCUCAACCUGGGAAUUGCAUUCGAGACUGAAUAGCUAGGGUGCGGUAGAGGGAAGCGGAAUUUCCGGUGUAGCGGUGAAAUUCGUAGAUAUUCGGAAGAACACCAGUGGCGAAGGCGACUCGCUGGACAGACAUUGACGCUGAGGUGCGAAAGCGUGGGGAGCAACAGG
rnacentral:rRNA from 1 species